rnacentral:rRNA from 1 species
UACGAAGGGGGCUAGCGUUGCUCGGAAUCACUGGGCGUAAAGGGUGCGUAGGCGGGUCUUUAAGUCAGGGGUGAAAUCCUGGAGCUCAACUCCAGAACUGCCUUUGAUACUGAAGAUCUUGAGUUCGGGAGAGGUGAGUGGAACUGCGAGUGUAGAGGUGAAAUGCGUAGAUAUUCGGAAGAACACCAGUGGCGAAGGCGACUCACUGGACACGUAUUGACGCUGAGGUGCGAAAGCGUGGGGAGCAAACAGG